AAUUUCGACGUGUGCUGGCUCGAAGAUCGGAACUGACAUGACGGAGUGUUCUACACGGACUCCUUAAAGCGCUACACGCACACUGUUACCUGCAGCAGAAAGAUCAGCAGCAGCGUGAAUUGUAAACUUCGGACGUGAGAGAUAACAGCUGCAGCCCUGCAAGGACUAGGCUACUGCAAAGGGGCGAAGUAUAGACCUACUGUAGACUAUCAUCAUGGAAAGAAGCAAGAAGGACAUUAUGUCCUUUUUUGCCCCUGUUGGCAAAAAGCAACAUAGAGAGAGUAAGGAAGAUGAAGCUUAUGAAAGAGGAGAGCGAGCCAGAGGUGGAGAGAGAGCCAGAGGUGGUGGUUGGAGAGGUGGAAAGUGAGGCAUCUGAAAGGCAAUCUGAGAGUGAGGAUGAAGACAUUCAGGAUCAGAUUGAGGGACAGAAUGAGGGACAACCCAACGAGUCAUUGGGACAACCAGAUUCACCAUGCAUAUCAAGUACAGCACCAUCAGAUAUCAGCAAGUGCUUGGACGACACUCCAGUGCAGCCACAUCUGAAGAAAAGAUUCAUUGUAUGCAAAAAUAGAAAUCUUAUUUUACAAAAAAGAGAAACAUGGUUUUAAGAUUUAUUGAGCACAAUUUAUUUUAUGUUUAGGCUAUUGAGACAGAAUGUUUCUCUCAUUGUAUUUAUGCUCAAUGUAUUUUGUUUUGGUUUUAAAUAAACUAAACUAAACAUUUUGAACGCUUAAAUAUUGCCAUGUUUUGUCCUUAUGUGCCCCCCUGAAAAAACACUGGCCCCACCUCGGCCCCCCUAGUAAUUUUGGUCUAGAACCACCACUGACUGUGACCCUGUGAUGUGCAGCUGCACUACUGUCAGAGCUGCUGUAAGAGAAAAUUAAUCAACACCUUCUGACCAAUUAGGAUGCAGAAGUUUUCAUGAGUUUCAUGAAUUUAUUUCUCUGUUAUUUACUCCACCAGUGCUGAUUAGAGAAACACUCAGACACACACACACACACACACUGCACUAAUAAUCUCCUUCAUAUCCUGUUGUCCGAGAUUGUGAGCUGAUGGCAGGGAGAGAUGAAGCUCCGCUGCAGCGACACCAGACUCCAUCGUGCUUUAUUUCCUCCGUGAUAAACGCAGUAAUGUGCGGGAUGUGCUUCGACGCAGCUGGAAGCGGCUUUACUGCUCAGCUCAGCAGGAUCCGCUCGGCUCUCUGACAGCGUGCGAGGAGAAACUUCAAAGUUUUAUGGCAAUAUUUCAAGAAAAGCAGCACAGAGAAGAACUAUAAAUCAUGACCGUGAGAUUCGAGUGCAAAGUUCGUGCACUUUUCCAACUGGAGGAACUUUCUGAACAUCUCUCCUGACUCUUUUCAGCGACUUUAUUCUUUCAUACAGGAGCAAAUUGUUGCGCUUUCUGCUGCACAGCGUCCAGAGCGGACUGUGAACAGACUGCAGGACACAGAGGCAGAAGGGUUUAUUUAUGAAGAGGAUGAAAAUUAUACCGAGUUAUAUUAGUUUUCUGAAAUCAACAAACAUGACGUUUUCUAUCAGGAUUUUAUGUGAAGCUUCGAUGUGUGGUUGCUGAAUGGAACAGUGGAGAUGAGAAGCAGAAUUUAGACCACAAGUCCUCUCUUUCAACCAUGUCUCAUCACUUUUGGCCACGUGUCCUCUCUUUCGACCCUGUGCCCUCUCUUUCGACCCUGUGCCCUCUCUUUCGACCCUGUGCCCUCUCUUUUGGCCAUGUCUCCUCUCUUUAGACCCUGUAUCUUCUCUUUCAACCCUGUGUCCUCUCUUUCAACCAUGUCUUCUCUCUUUCAACCCUGUGUCCUCUCUUUCGACCCUGUGUCCUCUCUUUCGACCCUGUGUCCUCUCUUUCGACCA